GUAGUCCACGCCGUAAACGAUGGAUACUAGCUGUUGGGCGCAAGUUCAGUGGCUAAGCGAAAGUGAUAAGUAUCCCACCUGGGGAGUACGGGCGCAAGCCUGAAACUCAAAGGAAUUGACGGGGGCCCGCACAAGCGGUGGAGCAUGUGGUUUAAUUCGAUGAUACGCGAGGAACCUUACCAAGGCUUAAAUGCAGACUGACCGUUUUGGAAACAGAACUUUCGCAAGACAGUCUACAAGGUGCUGCAUGGUUGUCGUCAGCUCGUGCCGUGAGGUGUCAGGUUAAGUCCUAUAACGAGCGCAACCCCUGUUGUUAGUUGCCAGCGAGUCAUGUCGGGAACUCUAACGAGACUGCCAGUGCAAACUGUGA
rnacentral:rRNA from 1 species